rnacentral:rRNA from 1 species
GAUGAACGCUGGCGGCGUGCCUAAUACAUGCAAGUAGAACGCUGAAGGAGGAGCUUGCUCUUCUGGAUGAGUUGCGAACGGGUGAGUAACGCGUAGGUAACCUGCCUGGUAGCGGGGGAUAACUAUUGGAAACGAUAGCUAAUACCGCAUGACAACAGUUAUUGCAUGAUAACUGUUUAAAAGGUGCAACUGCUCCACUACCAGAUGGACCUGCGUUGUAUUAGCUAGUUGGUGAGGUAACGGCUCACCAAGGCGACGAUACAUAGCCGACCUGAGAGGGUGAUCGGCCACACUGGGACUGAGACACGGCCCAGACUCCUACGGGAGGCAGCAGUAGGGAAUCUUCGGCAAUGGACGGAAGUCUGACCGAGCAACGCCGCGUGAGUGAAGAAGGUUUUCGGAUCGUAAAGCUCUGUUGUAAGAGAAGAACGAGUGUGAGAGUGGAAAGUUCACACUGUGACGGUAUCUUACCAGAAAGGGACGGCUAACUACGUG